AGGCAACGCCUGCCCAGUGAACAAUUAAACGGCCGCGGUACCCUAACCGUGCAAAGGUAGCGUAAUCAUUUGUCUAUUAAUUGUAGACCUGUAUGAAAGGCAUAAUGAGGGCCUAACUGUCUCUUAUAAUAUAUCAAUUAAACUGAUCUUCUAGUACAAAAGCUAAAAUACCGACAUAAGACCAGAAGACCCUGUGAAGCUUUAACUAACCUAUUAAACCCUAUAAUAGCUACUUUCGGUUGGGGCGACCUUGGAAAAAAAAGAAACUUCCAAACCAUGACUAAAACUCACAAAAGGCCAACAAGCCUACAACGACCCAGCAUAGCUGACAAUUGAACCAAGUUACUCCAGGGAUAACAGCGCUAUCUUCUUCAAGAGUCCAUAUCAAAAAGAAGGUUUACGACCUCGAUGUUGGAUCAGGACAUCCUAGUGGU
rnacentral:rRNA from 1 species